AUAAAGUUUUAUUUUGACUUAAAUAUUUAUUAUUAAUAUAAUUUAUAUACGAGUUUUUGCAUGUAUUUUUUAUUAUUUAAAAAAUAAUAAAAUUAUAAUUAAUUGUAAUAAUUAAUAUUAUUAAUUAAAGAAAUUUAGAAAUAGUAAUAUUAAAUAAUAUUGACUAAAUUUGUGCCAGCAGUCGCGGUUAGACAAAAAAUAUAAGUAAAUAUUUUUAGUUUAGAGUUAGACGUAUUAGAAAAAAAAUAAAAUUAAUUUUAUUAAGUGAAAUUUUAAAAUUAAAUAUAUUUUUUAUAGAUAAGUUGAAGCUUAUAAAUUUAAAUAAUAAACUAGGAUUAGAUACCCUAUUAUUUUAAAUGUAAUUAAAAAAACUAGAGUAUUAAUAGUUAUAUUCUUUAAACUUAAAAAAUUUGGCGGUAUUUUAGUCUAUUCAGAGGAACCUGUUUUUUAAUCGAUAAUCCACGUUGGACCUUACUUAAUAUUAUAAAUUAGUUUGUAUACCGUCGUUAUAGAAAAUUUUAUAAGAAAAAUAAUUUUCAAUAAAUUAAAUAAGAUUAUAUAUCAGAUCAAGGUGCAGCAUAUUAUUAAGAUAAUAAUGGGUUACAAUAAAUAUAUUUAAAUGAAUAUAAAUAUGAAAAAUUUAUUGAAAGUGGAUUUGAAAGUAAAAUUAUAAAGAUUAAUAAUUUGAUUUUAGCUCUAAAAUAUGUACAUAUCGCCCGUCACUCUUAUUUUAAGAUAAGAUAAGUCGUAACAUAGUAGAUGUACUGGAAAGUGUAUCUAGAUUCAA
rnacentral:ncRNA from 1 species